UUGUCGAAACCUGCCCAGCAGAGCGACCCGCGAACGAGUGAAAACAAACCGGGACGGAACGGAGAGGGGCGUCCGCCCCCGACCGGCCGUCCGCCGGGCCCCGGCCGCCGUCCCGGAAGGGACGGGGUGCCGGCGUGCCCGCGCAGGACCAAAAACCGGCGCGACAGGCGCCAAGGAAAUCUCACGAGGAGACGGAGGGCCGCCCCGUUCGCGGGCGCGGCCCCCCGGAAUCCGAUACUCGAACGACUCCCGGCAACGGAUAUCUCGGCUCUUGCAUCGAUGAAGAACGUAGCGAAAUGCGAUACUUGGUGUGAAUUGCAGAAUCCCGUGAACCAUCGAGUCUUUGAACGCAAGUUGCGCCCGAGGCCACUAGGCCGAGGGCACGCCUGCCUGGGCGUCACACACAGCGUCGCACCCCGCCAACCAGGUUGACGGGGAGCGGAGACUGGCCCCCCGUGCCCGCACGGGCACGGUCGGCACAAAUUUCGGUCCCAUGCGGCGAGCGUCGCGGUCAGCGGUGGUUGUGCUCAUCAUCCCCCGAGGACGUCAAGACGCGGUCGCCCGUCGCGUGACGGGACGYGCAGACCCCACGGAGCCGCCCCCCGGGCGGCGUCCACCCUGCGACCCCA
rnacentral:rRNA from 1 species